rnacentral:rRNA from 1 species
CAGUCGCCGCGGUAAUACGAGGGGGGCGAGCGUUGUUCGGAAUUAUUGGGCGUAAAGGGCGCGUAGGCGGUUUGACAAGUCUCAUGUGAAAUCUUCGGGCUCAACUCAAAGUCUGCAUGGGAAACUGUCGGGCUUGAGUAUGGGAGAGGUGAGUGGAAUUUCCGGUGUAGCGGUGAAAUGCGUAGAUAUCGGAAGGAACACCUGUGGCGAAAGCGGCUCACUGGACCAUAACUGACGCUGAGGCGCGAAAGCUAGGGGAGCAAACAGGAUUAGAUACCCGCGUAGUCCCUGUCUCUUAUAC